rnacentral:lncRNA from 1 species
UCCUGGUUUGCACUCUCCCUCAUCUGGUCAUUUCUUGUGUUGGGCUUCCUUCAUUAGCUGACAUAGCUUGAGUGUGGCAAAUGUCAAGAGCUUGCUUACAUAUUGCAAGAAUUACAAGCUGAAUUGAGAAUGCUUCUAGUUGCCUACAUGCCUUAAUCUUUUCAGAGGAGAAACAAUUUCAGUAUUUGAACAUCUUUUCAGAGGAGAAACAAUUUCAGUAUUUGAACAUCGAACAUAUCAGCAAUAUUCAUAAAACAAUAGAAUCAGCACCAAAUAUGUACUAUUUGAAAUUUGAAGUUAUCAGAAAUGUUCAUAAAACAAUAGAAUCAGCACCAAAUAUGUACUAUUUGAAAUUUGAAGUUAUC